rfam:Salmo salar isolate Sally breed double haploid chromosome ssa25, whole genome shotgun sequence.
UGCGCUCUCUAUUGUAAGUCACUCUGGAUAAGAGCGUCUGCUAAAUUACUGAAA